GCGGGAGUAGCUCAAUGGUAGAGUGACAGCCUUCCAAGCUGUUGGUUGCGGGUUCGAUUCCCGUCUCCCGCUCCA
rnacentral:tRNA from 1 species